UAGGGAAUCUUCCACAAUGGGCGAAAGCCUGACGGAGCAACGCCGCGUGUGUGAUGAAGGGUUUCGGCUCGUAAAACACUGUUGUAAGAGAAGAAUGACAUUGAGAGUAACUGUUCAAUGUGUGACGGUAUCUUACCAGAAAGGAACGGCUAAAUACGUGCCA
rnacentral:rRNA from 1 species